UGAGGAAUAUUGGUCAAUGGGCGAGAGCCUGAACCAGCCAAGUAGCGUGCAGGAUGACGGCCCUAUGGGUUGUAAACUGCUUUUAUAAGGGAAUAAAGUUAGUCUCGUGAGACUUUUUGCAUGUACCUUAUGAAUAAGGACCGGCUAAUUCCGUGCCAGCAGCCGCGGUAAUACGGAAGGUCCGGGCGUUAUCCGGAUUUAUUGGGUUUAAAGGGAGCGUAGGCCGGAGAUUAAGCGUGUUGUGAAAUGUAGACGCUCAACGUCUGCACUGCAGCGCGAACUGGUUUCCUUGAGUACGCACAAAGUGGGCGGAAUUCGUGGUGUAGCGGUGAAAUGCUUAGAUAUCACGAAGAACUCCGAUUGCGAAGGCAGCUCACUGGAGCGCAACUGACGCUGAAGCUCGAAAGUGCGGGUAUCGAACAGGAUUAGAUACCCUGGUAGUCCGCACGGUAAACGAUGGAUGCCCGCUGUUGGUCUGAACAGGUCAGCGGCCAAGCGAAAGCAUUAAGCAUCCCACCUGGGGAGUACGCCGGCAACGGUGAAACUCAAAGGAAUUGACGGGGGCCCGCACAAGCGGAGGAACAUGUGGUUUAAUUCGAUGAUACGCGAGGAACCUUACCCGGGCUUGAAUUGCAGAGGAAGGAUUUGGAGACAAUGACGCCCUUCGGGGCCUCUGUGAAGGUGCUGCAUGGUUGUCGUCAGCUCGUGCCGUGAGGUGUCGGCUUAAGUGCCAUAACGAGCGCAACCCCUCUCCUUAGUUGCCAUCAGGUUAAGCUGGGCACUCUGGGGACACUGCCACCGUAAGGUGUGAGGAAGGUGGGGAUGACGUCAAAUCAGCACGGCCCUUACGUCCGGGGCUACACACGUGUUACAAUGGCAGGUACAGAGAGACGGUCCCAUGCAAAAUGGAUCAAAUCCUUAAAGCCUGUCUCAGUUCGGACUGGGGUCUGCAACCCGACCCCACGAAGCUGGAUUCGCUAGUAAUCGCGCAUCAGCCAUGGCGCGGUGAAUACGUUCCC
rnacentral:rRNA from 1 species